rnacentral:rRNA from 1 species
CUCAGAUUGAACGCUGGCGGCAUGCCUUACACAUGCAAGUCGGACGGCAGCACGGGAGCAAUCCUGGUGGCGAGUGGCGAACGGGUGAGUAAUACAUCGGAACGUGUCCUGGAGUGGGGGAUAGCCCGGCGAAAGCCGGAUUAAUACCGCAUACGCUCUAUGGAGGAAAGCGGGGGAUCUUUCGGGACCUCGCGCUCAAGGGGCGGCCGAUGGCAGAUUAGCUAGUUGGUGGGGUAAAGGCCUACCAAGGCGACGAUCUGUAGCUGGUCUGAGAGGACGACCAGCCACACUGGGACUGAGACACGGCCCAGACUCCUACGGGAGGCAGCAGUGGGGAAUUUUGGACAAUGGGCGCAAGCCUGAUCCAGCAAUGCCGCGUGUGUGAAGAAGGCCUUCGGGUUGUAAAGCACUUUUGUCCGGAAAGAAAACCUCCUGGUUAAUACCCGGGGGGGAUGACGGUACCGA